UACGUAGGGUGCAAGCGUUGUCCGGAAUUAUUGGGCGUAAAGAGCUCGUAGGCGGUUAGUCGCGUCUGCUGUGAAAACUCGGGGCUUAACUCCGGCCUGCAGUGGGUACGGGCUGACUAGAGUGCGGUAGGGGAGACUGGAAUUCCUGGUGUAGCGGUGAAAUGCGCAGAUAUCAGGAGGAACACCGGUGGCGAAGGCGGGUCUCUGGGCCGUAACUGACGCUGAGGAGCGAAAGCGUGGGGAGCAAACAGG
rnacentral:rRNA from 1 species